GCUGGGCGUGGUGGUGGGCGCCUGUAGUCCCAGCUACUUGGGAGGCUGAGGCAGAAGAAUCACUUGAAUCCGGGAGGCAGAGGUUGCAGUGAGCCGAGAUUGCGCCACUGCACUCCAGCCUGGGCAACAGAGUGAGACUCUGUCUCAA
rnacentral:SRP_RNA from 1 species